GAAAUUCCUUCACAAGUUAAACAUCUGACUCAGCAAUUCCAACCCUGGGUUAAUAAAACUUGGUUUUCGAGCAUUUCUCUGCCCCAGGAGGGCAAUGGGCCCCACGUCCAAUUCAUCAAGUGCCUAAUGAGUGGCCUCGGAGGUCCCGGCCCAUCCAUUCCAGAAGCUCUCUGCCUCGUAAAGGCUCUCUUACCUUGGCCAAGUUGUCAGGACCCUGCCUGCUCCAGGCUUGGGGCUGUGUUUGCCCCGACAUGGUUGGAAAAGUGGAAUCUGAGCAACCAAGAGCUCCAGCUGCCCGCCUGGAGCAGGGGAGGGAAGGGGCACGGAGGGGCGGCAUGCUCGCUCUGCGUGCAGGAAACGGGAAAAGCUGUUUCGGAGGAUUGUCCGCGAUGCCCUCUGUUUUAUCAACCCCCUGGCCCGCCCCAGAGCCAGGCAGACGAAUUUCAACAGUUGCACUGCGCACUGGCAAGAAGAUCGCAGGCUCAAUGCGUAGAGGUA